rnacentral:rRNA from 1 species
AUUGAACGCUGGCGGCAGGCCUAACACAUGCAAGUCGAGCGAGCGGCGGACGGGUGAGUAAUGUAUGGGGACUCCCCGAGAGAGGGGGAUAACUACUGGAAACGGUGGCUAAUACCGUAUAAUAUCGGAUAACCCAUAUGGGAUUAGCUAGUAGGUGGGGUAAAGGCGCACCAAGGCGACGAUCUCUAGCUGGUCUGAGCGGAUUAUCAGCCACAGUGGGACUGAAACACGGCCCAGAAUCCUACGGAGGCAGCAUUGGGGAAUAUUGCACAAUGGGCGCAAGCCUGAUGCAGCCAUGCCGCGUGUAUGAAGAAGGCCUUAGGGUUGUAAAGUACUUUCAGCGGGGAGGCGUUACCCGCAGAAGAAGCACCGGCUAACUCCGUGCCAGCAGCCGCGGUAAUAC